CAAUUCUAAAUACAAGAAAAAUUAAUCUAAAUAAAUUUCAGAUUCAAGUGAACUGGGAAAUAUUCAGUGUUAAAUAUCUAGUAUUAAUGUUUGUUUGGUAAUCUAAUAAGAAAGUAGGAUGUAUGUUUUUAAUAAAGAAAAUGUAAAAAAUAAAAUUACAUUUUAUAAGGGGAAAAGAAAGUAAGUCUGAUUUACAGGUAGCUGUUACAGAAAGUGAUUAAAUGGUUUGUGGAAGGUGGACCCUGAAAAAGUUUUGUGCAUGGUUAGGACUGACUAAAUUUAAAAUAAAUUUAAUUAAGUUUACCUAAAUGAGUUUAAGCUGGUGGAAAAACUUAAAUUCUGCAAAAGAUAACCCCUCAUGGUUAGACUUUUACUAUCUUGAUAUCUUUAAAACAUGGUGAUAGUCUGCUCUUAAAUCAGGAAAUUAAAAAUAGAUAAACAACAACUGAAAAUCAAAGAGCCAGGGCUAUGGGAAAUCUAAGAUGGCUGCUUGGCUUUUCCCAGUUCUCUGACAGUCCUUAGUUUUAUUUGAUGGGUUAAAGCCUUACAUGGCUACAUUGUUAAUGCCCUCACAAUGAGUUCUGAAAAAAAAAAAAAAAGAAAAAAAAAAGAAAAAAUUAUGUGUCACUAAGUAUUAAGUUCUAGUUUUGUUAAUUAAGGUGUGUGCUUACUAAGACUCACUUCUGAGAUAGUUCCUUGUUAUGUUAUAUUGCUAAAAGUUUUAAUUAAGUUAUUGAAAAGGACACUCUAAGAUUGUUUCCAAAGCUUAUCUCAAUAACUAGUCUUUGGAUUAAAGGUCAGAUGCUCCAUGAUGUACAACCAGGAGAUUAACACUUGGCUGUAAUCAUUUAUAGAAAUAGAGGAAAACAACAGAAUGGGAAACACUAGAGAUCUCUUCAAGAAAAUUAGAGAUACCAAGGGAACAUUUCAUGCAAAGAUGGGCUCAAUAAAGGACAGAAAUUGUAUGGACCUAACAGAAGCAGAAGAUAUUAAGAAGAGGUGGCAAGAAUAUACAGAAGAACUGUACAUAAAAGAGCUUUAAGACCAGGAUAAUCACGAUGGUAUGGUCACUCACCUAGAGCCAGACAUCCUGGAAUGUGAAGUCAAGUGGGCCUUAGAAAGCAUCACUACAAACAAAGCUAGUGGUGGUGAUGGAAUUCAAGUAGAGCUAUUUCAAAUCCUGAAAGAUGAUGCUGUAAAAGUGCUGCACUCAAUAUGCCAGCAAAUUUGGAAAACUCAGCAGUGGCCACAGGACUGGAAAAGGUCAGUUUUCAUUCCAAUCCCAAAGAAAGGCAAUGCCAAAGAAUGCUCAAACUACUGCACAAUUGCACUCAUCUCACAUGCUAGUAAAGUAAUGCUCAAAAUUCUCCAAGCCAGGCUUCAGCAAUACGUGAACCGUGAACUUCCUGAUGUUCAAGCUGAUUUUAGAAAAGGCAGAGGAACCAGAGGUCAAAUUGCCAAUAUCCACUGGAUCAUGGAAAAAGCAAGAAAGUUUCAGAAAAACAUCUAUUUCUGCUUUGUUGACUAUGCCAAAGCCUUUGACUGUGUGGAUCACAAUAAACUGUGAAAAAUUCUGAAAGAGAUGGGAAUAUCAGACCAUCUGAUCUGCCUCUUGAGAAACCUAUAUACAGGCGAUGAAGCAACAGUGAGAACUGGACAUGUGACAACAGACUGGUUCCAAACAGGAAAAGGAGUACGUCAAGGCUGUAUAUUGUCACCUUGCUUAUUUAACUUAUAUGCAGAGUACAUCAUGAGAAACGCUGGACUGGAAGAAGCACAAACUGAAAUCAAGAUUGCCAGGAGAAAUAUCAAUAACCUCAUAUACACAGACAACACCACCCUAUGGCAGAGAGCGAAGAGAAGCUAAAAAGUCUCUUGAUGAAAGUGAAGGAGGAGAGUGAAAAAGUUGGCUUAAAGCUCAACAUUCAGAAAACGAAGAUCAUGGUAUCUGGUCCUAUCACUUCAUGGGAAAUAGAUGGGGAAACAGUGGAAACAGUGACAGACUUUAUUUUAUUUUGGGCUCCAAAAUCAUGGCAGAUGGUGAUUGCAGCCAUGAGAUUAAAAGAUGCUUACUCCUUGGAAGAAAAGUUAUGACCAACCUAGAUAGCAUAUUUAAAAGCAGAGACAUUACUUUGCCAACAAAGGUCCAUCUAGUCAAGGCUAUGGUUUUUCCUGUAGUCAUGUAUGGAUGUGAAAGUUGGACUGUGAAGAAACCUGAGCACCAAAGAAUUGAUGCUUUUGAACUGUGGUGUUGGAAAAGACUCUUGAGAGUCCCUUGGACUGCGAGAAGAUCCAACCAGUCUGCUCUAAAGGAGAUCAGUCCUGGGAGUUCAUUGGAGAGACUGAUGCUAAAGCUGAAACUCCAAUACUUUGGCCACCUCAUGCGAAGAAUUGACUCAUUGGAAAAGAUCCUAAUGCUGGGAAGUAUUGGGGGCAGGAGGAGAAGGGGAUGACAGAGGAUGAGAUGGCUGGAUGGCAUCACUAACUCGAUGGACAUGGGUUUGGGUGGACUCCAGGAGUUGGUGAUGGACAGGGAGGCCUGGCGUGCUGCGAUUUUUGGGACUGCAAAGAGUCGGACACGAGUGAGCAACUGAACUGAACUGAGCUAUUGGCAAGCAGUGUCAGGCAUUUUUAAUGUAUAUAUUACUAUUUGUGAUAUUAAGUAAUUGUGUAUGAAUCUUUGCUCGGAAAGUGAAAGUCGCUCAGUCGUGUUGUAUUCUUUGCAACCCCAAAGACUGUACAGUCCAUGGAAUUCUCCAGGCCAGAAUACUGGAUUGGGUUGCUCUUGAGGGGGUAACAGGCAGGAAGGCCAGGGGUCUCCAAUUGAGGGUGCAAGUGUCAGACAUUUUUAUCUCUCUUAAGCAGCAGGAGGAAACAAACUAGUGAUAUUUUUUUCCCUUCUCUAUAAAAAUUUAAUGGGAGGUUUCUCUUAAAAUACUGUGUUGCCAUAAUGACACCUGAUUUCACCUGAAGUUAACUAUUCUCAAACCUUGAGUUAACCAAUAAAUUUUUCUUAUGGAAAUGUUUGUCUUAAGCUAUGUUAAUGUACUAUGCAUUUACCCCAGACUCUGUCUUCAAGCCAGUUCUGCCUAAUGGCUCAGAACCUACUUGACAAACCAAUCUCAGAUAUUAAUCCCUAAUCUAUGUAAAUGAAACAAUAUGUAUGGUAAUCUGCCCUUCUACAAGAUUCAAGUCAAUCGUUUUAUGGCCCAGGAUGAAUCAUCUGGUGCCAAGAUUAUCCCAAAAUGCCUCUUAUUAUGUGUGAGGGGCCUGGUGCCAUUCUGAGUUUUGAGACAUUCCUUUCUUUCAUUAACAGACUGCUAGUGACUAUAUAACAUCCAGCUGAAGACUAGCACGGGGGUACUCUUUCUGCCCACUUCUGAUGACUAUGUCAGAAGCUUUCUCUAUCUCUUUUAUACUUUAAUAAAACUUUAUUACACAAAAGCUCUGAGCGAAUCAAGCCUCGUCUCUGGCCCUGGAUUGAAUUCUUCUCCUCGAGAGGCCAAGAAUCCUGGUGUCUUUUUGUUCAGCAACAACCUUUCACCCUUCCCUUCAUCAGGGGAUAUUCCCAACUCAGGGAUUCAACCCAGGUCUCCCGCAUUGUGGGCAGAUUCUUUAUCAUUUGAACCAUAAGGGAAGCCCAAGAAUACUCGAGUGGGUAGCCUAUCCCUUCUCCAGGGUAUCUUCCCAACUUGGAAUUGAACUGGGGUCUCCUGAAUUGCAGGUGAAUUUUUUAACAACUGAGCUAUCAGGGAAGCUCCAAAUUUUCAUCUAAAUUACUAAUCUGUUCCUUUACAUUAAGUGUAAAAAAGUAGUCCAUACACAGACUUUUUUUUCAUUGCAACUUUCUUAAUUCAAGUAAGUUCUAGCAAAGACUCUAAGUAGGAAAUGCAUUUUGGAAAUUGGUAUGAAGCACAGUUAUGUCAGACUUUAUUUUUUGGGGCUCCAAAAUCACUGUAUAUGGGGAUUGAGCCAUGAAAUUACUUACUUCUUAGAAGUAAGACACUUACUUAGAAGGAAAGACACUUGGAAGGAAGACACUUACUUCUUGGAAGGAAAGUUAUGACCAACCUAGAUAGCAUAUUGAAAAGCAGAGAUAUUACUUUGCCAACAAAGGUCUGUCUAGUCAAGGCUAUGGUUUUUCCAGUAGUCAUGUAUGGAUGUGAGAGUUGAACUGUGAAGAAAGCUGAGCACCGAAGACUUGAUGCUUUUGAACUGUGGUGUUGGAGAAGACUCUUGAGAGUCCCAUAGACUGCAAGGAGAUCCAACUAGUCCAUUCUAAAGGAGAUCAGUCCUGGAUGUUCAUUGGAAAGACUGAUGUUGAAGCUGAAACUCCAAUGCUUUGGCUACCUCAUGUGACGAAUUGACUCAUUGGAAAAGACCCUGAAGCUGGGAGGGAUUGGGGGCAGGAGGAGAAGGGGACGACAGAGGAUGAGAUGGCUGGAUAGCAUCACUGACUUGAUGCACAGGAGUUUGAGUGAACUCCAGCAGUUGAUGAUGGACAGGGAGGCUUGGCAUGCUGCGAUUCAUAGGGUCGCAGAGAGUCAGACACGACUGAGCGACUCAACUGAACUGAACUGAACAGUAAUGAAAGCAGUAUGACGCUGUGUCAGAUGUUUGAUAUUCAAUUUUUAUCACUCUUGGAAGAAGUGGGAACAAAAGAUCCAGAUAUUCAGCUCCCUCUGGUUACACAUGGAACAGUUCAGUUCAGUUGUUCAGUCGUGUCCGACUCUUUGCCACUCCAUGAAUAGCAGUAUGCCAGGCCGCCCUGUCCAUCACCAACUCCCAGAGUUCAC
ensembl:lncRNA